CUGAGUUCUGGACCUGGGGUGGAGUGGGGCCCUUCGAGGGAUGCCGGAGAAGAGGGCAGAGACUGGGAGCUCAGCCCACUGAGUGUUUUCCUGGAGGCUCCAGUUUAACUGCUGUGCUUCAUCCACUGCAGUGGACCACCUUUGAGACUAAACACGGAAAGUCAGAAGUUCAGACAGGAGCUGUGUGAAUUAUAUGUAGAGAACUUAACCUAGAAAUUUCACAAGAACUUUGUAGAAGGAAGUUGAACCCCAGAAUUGCAGGCACUUGGGCAGGUGAGUUAGGAGUCGGUGGUUACCCUGCUCCCCGGCUUGCCUGUCUCAGCUCCCUGGCCCUUUGCUCCUGAAACCACCUGAGUGCCCGGGCUGGCGAGUGCUGACCAAGAGGCCCUGUCCCUGCCCGGCCGCCGCCCUUCUGCUCUCUGCCUGCCUGCUUGCUGUGCCGUCAGGAUAAGCCAGUCCCUUGGUCCCAGUGCUGACUGACCAAGCACCCCCCCUGCUGGUGGUUGGAAGUUUACCAUCGGCUUGGAGAGGCUGGUGGGCCGGCCCCGCCCCAAGGGCCCAGGUGUCCCAGCCGCGUGCAGUGCGGGGCUGUGAGGCCAGCGGGCCUGCGGUGCCCCGGCAGCUGCCACAAGACGUGUGGUUUUCCUAAACGUUGCAUUUUAAUCCACCUCGUAUUUUCCUCUUGGUGUCUUUCUACCUUUCGGAGUUUUUUGAAGCUGUGAGACUGAGCUCUGAGUGGUCUUUGGAUGACGGAACGUGAAUGAAGCAGGUUGCUGCUGAGUGGGCCCCGGACAGGACCUGAGUGUUACAGCAACCCCAGACCCCGGCUGACAAGGCUCAAACACAGCUCUGCAAAGAAUGCCGCCGGCCUGCUCAUCGAAACCCACGCACCCGAGCCAACUUCAGUGCUCCUUAAAGUUCUCAGCAAGAAACUCAGGGCCUGCGUCUAGCCGUCAGUGAUGGUCCGUGAAGAAGCGGCCUUCCCACGCGGCCCCGGGCUUGGCCCAGGUGUAGGUCUUAUGCAGCCAGAGAGAUGCCAUUCUUUGCAUGUCUCUGUGCUCUAGUCAACCAAGAGAAUCUUAACAUAAAGCCAGCGACAACAAUGGAAUGAGACUGAUCACCAUGCUCUGCAUCCUGAUGUUUCACUUUCUGCAGAUAACAUCAAACAGAACAGCUGAGACUUUGGAAACCACUUUCACUGAUCACCCCGGGACGGCCACCUCCUGUCCACCAGGUCACGGGGACCAGACCUCAGACCUCCAGGGGUGGUACAUUUGAGGACAAAACAAGCCUUUGGAGACGUCUGCACUGCCCCCACUUGCUGGCGGUGCUGGAAGUUAACCAGCCUGGCCAUUCAGGGCCAGAGUAUAGUGUGGCCAUCAAGUUACCUAAAUAACGUCUCUAUUUUCAGGGUUCCCUCUUUGCCCUUCGCUGGCGCGGGGGAGAGGUGCCGGCUUGCAGACGAGGUAGAACCUCCCGCCUGGGUCAGGUGUGUUGCCAGCACCUGCCCCCUCCAGACUCAUUCCAUCAGGUGUGAGUGUUGGUUUGGGCUGAGCUGUCUCGCUUUUGCAGAAACUGAGUUUCCCAUCAAGCUGAUUUCUAAGUGCCUCCUAGACAGACCGUCAUCCCUGCUGACUCUGAGCAAGUCGCUCUGAGUCUUGGCAGAGCCAGGAAGAGGCCCUCACUGGCCUGUGUGGCUUGUGUUGGGAGGUAGGGGCUCCGACUUAACUCCCCACUCUAUUCAGGGAGAAGUUGUUGCUGGCCUCUCUCCUCCGGCACCUUUGGGUGAGCCGCUCCGGGAGGCUCAGCAGGGCCUGCCUGCAUGGCCGGUGGAGGAGGAGGGUGGCCAGGGCAAUUGCACAGCUCUCCCCAAACAGGGCCAGCUCCGCCAGGUUCAUGAGCAGCUCGUCCCGGGGGGCACCGAUGUCCCUCCGCAGCUUCAGCCGGGCCCGCUGGACAAGCGCGGUGUUGUAGAGGAGGCGGCAGGCGAAUGAGGCCAGGGUGAUGGCCAGAACCACCCAGCAGUGAGCUGAGCCCGCGUCCCCCAGGGGCAGAGCCGCCCAGCCAGCCCGCUGGAUGCCAAGCAGGGUGAGGAGCACAAGCUUCAGGACGAGGGCCAGCCCGAGGCCCAGGCUGACCUUCACGAUCUCGUACUCGGGCCAGGCAGUCAGUGGGUCCACCUGGCACAGAGUGGGUUCGUAAAGCUCCCUGGACGUGCCCAGGAGGGCCACCACUCCCAGGGAGCUGCAGAUGGCACAGCCCCCAACGGCGGCCAGGCUGGCUGCGGGCCUCUGGGCCCCUUGGGGGGCCGCGCGCAGGCAGGACGGGCACUGCAGCAGGAACGCGGAGAGCAUGGCCACCUGCACGUACUGCGCGUUGAAGUAGCAGAUGUUGAACACGAGGGACAGAACGGCACAGCCCAGGUGGGUCGUGGCCAGGUAGUCUGGCCGGCCAAUCGCUGUGAGCGAGAGCAGUGUCACCAGCAGACCAGUGGCAGUGAGGUCCGCCAGGCAGGCAUCCAGGCCCUGCAGCCUGGCGCGGCCUCGGACAAAGGUGGUCAAGUUGAAGAGCCCGGCCGCCAGGCUCAGCGGUAGGAACAGUGCCGUGUAGACAAGCGCGCACCUGGACACGAGGCUCUGCGCGGCUAUGACCUCUUCCACAGCCGUGGAGACGCGGCUUGGGUACCGGAUCCAGGACAUGUUGUGGGUGCUCAUCUCGGCCGGGUCCCACCUGGAACAGAAGCAGCGGGGGACGUGGGCCUAGCGUCAGGCUGCCCCCUGGGUUCGGGACAGUCUGGGACCUCGUUAAAGACAUUUCUGGGUCUUGCCCCCUUUCCCGCGGAGGGUGAGGGCAUGGGGCGUGGUAUUAACAGCCAUCUUCCCUGCGGGGUGGAUCCUGGGGAGACUCCUCACCCCACCCCUCGAGCACCCCCUCCCCUCAUUGCUGACAAACCGCUUUCCCCGUCCCGCCCCUGGAGCAGAUGUGUGCCGGGCCCCUGUCUCCCAAACAGGGUUCCUUCCGUGGGGGGUGUCCAGGCAGGAGGGCUAGGGCUUCCGUUCUGAGCCCAUUGUCCUGCUUUCCACACCCAGGCCCCUGCCCUCCAGGGGAGCGGCUAGCGCCCGCACUGCAGGUGUCACCAGCUCUGGCCCACUUGUGGGGACUCUGCUCAGAGCUGGAGUCCAGGAGCGAGGGCUCAGCCCUCCUGGCCUGGCCUUGCCACGGGAAAAACCUCGUUUCUGUGUACAUGUCGCCCCCUCCUUAGAUUUCAGCCAAACAGCAGGCGAGGCUGGCAGACCACACCGCUGUUUGUUCAAAGCCAUUGCGAGCAGGAAAAACUGGGGACGGACCCAAUGAAACGCUGAAAGGCGGGCGUGGCUCCCCCUGCUGGGGACGGGCCCCCAGCCUACGGCGGGUGUGCCAAGGCUCGUCCUCACUCUGCGCCAGGCCGGCUCCAUUGCAUGGUGACCACGGGCAGUGGGCGGGGGUCUGUGCAGACGUGGGUCCACCGUGGCUCCUCUGGCUGGCUGUCUCAGCACACGUGUGUGUGGCAGGCUCGUGUGCCACAUGAACACUGACUAACCUGUGUCUGCCGCGACAUGGCUGCUUGCUUGCUUUCCUGGAGAGCCGUGCCCGUGCGCACCCUGCUCUCGUCCCGCCAGCCUGUGGGGGUGGCGGGGCCCGUGUGCCGCAGGGGGUCAUGACGUCUUCCACCUGCCGGGGCUCAGGGGUCAGUGACUCCCUGAGUGACGUCACACCUAGGACUGGUGGCCAGACCGAGAGGAAGUGACUUGGAGUGUUUCCUUGAUGAAGGCAAAUUGGAAAGAAGAUGCUGUGAACCACUGACCCUGGUGCAGGAAACAGCCUCAGGCUGGCCAGCAUUUCAGGCCUUCUGGAGCAAACGCCCUUGUCCUUGCUGGUGGCAUUUGGGGCAUUCUUUAUCAGGGGCCACCCAGUUGUGGGUGUGACCUGAUGUGCUGGCGGGCCCCGCGUCCCAUGUCGCCCAGCCAGGCGGAGGGAGGGCGCGAGUCCAAGCUGGGCCCGGAGUGCGUCCCGGACUCUGCCGACCGGAAGCCCUCGCCUGCUCCUCGCCGAGUUGAGUGCUUCUCUCCAGGCCAGGCCUGCCUUGGGGCGAAAGGGGCUCCAGCUUCACGGGGUCGUCCUCCCCCACGGUGUGAGCUGUCCGGUGGGAGACCGUGGACUUGGGGGUCCUCAGAGGAGAGAGCAGACGGGCUCCCAGGAGUUGGGGCCAUGGUGGACAAACUGUCUCCACGCGUGGGGUGUCCCCACGUGCACAGGUCGGAGCACCUUCUGUGUGAAGGUUUGCUCAGACCUUGGUUUUCCACACGAAGCAGGUACACGUGUGAAACCACUUUCCAGCUGAGGUGAGAGUCAUGGAGCGAUGUCCAGGCCAGUGUCCAGACCUGCUCCUAGACCAUGGGGCCGUGGGCCUGGACAUCCAGCCCCACAAGCCCCCCUGCACGCAGGGCACCCCAGAACCCCGGUGCCUGUCCUGGUGGUCCCUUUCCACCCCUGCGGACAUCCAGGGCGUGUGAGGCACCUGUUCUUGGCACCCGCUGUGAUGCUGCCCUGGCAGAGGGCUGGCCCCUCACCUCUGAGCAGGACUUGCUGUGUGGACGGCCACUCCGUUUGAGUAACGUUGGGGUUUUGACUCUAUGAAUAAAGCUGCUUUUUAGAAUUUGAA